rnacentral:rRNA from 1 species
GAUGAACGCUGGCUACAGGCUUAACACAUGCAAGUCGAGGGGAAACGACGGGGAAGCUUGCUUCCCCGGGCGUCGACCGGCGCACGGGUGAGUAACGCGUAUCCAACCUGCCUCUGACUGAGGGAUAACCCGUCGAAAGUCGGCCUAAUACCUCAUGGCAUCGUCUGCGGGCAUCCAACGACGAUUAAAGAUUUCAUCGGUCAGGGAUGGGGAUGCGUCUGAUUAGCUUGUUGGCGGGGUAACGGCCCACCAAGGCGACGAUCAGUAGGGGUUCUGAGAGGAAGGUCCCCCACAUUGGAACUGAGACACGGUCCAAACUCCUACGGGAGGCAGCAGUGAGGAAUAUUGGUCAAUGGGCGGGAGCCUGAACCAGCCAAGUAGCGUGCAGGAUGACGGCCCUAUGGGUUGUAAACUGCUUUUAUGCGGGGAUAAAGUGCAGGACGUGUCCUUCAUUGCAGGUACCGCAUGAAUAAGGACCGGCUAAUUCCGUGCCAGCAGCCGCGGUAAUACGGAAGGUUCGGGCGUUAUCCGGAUUUAUUGGGUUUAAAGGGAGCGUAGGCCGUGGAUUAAGCGUGUUGUGAAAUGCAGGUGCUCAACGUCUGCACUGCAGCGCGAACUGGUCCACUAGAGUGUGCGCAACGCAGGCGGAAUUCGUCGUGUAGCGGUGAAAUGCUUAGAUAUGACGAAGAACUCCGAUUGCGAAGGCAGCUUGCGGGAGCACAACUGACGCUGAAGCUCGAAAGUGCGGGUAUCGAACAGG